GACGAACGCUGGCGGCGUGCCUAAUACAUGCAAGUUGAGCGAUGAAGAUUGGUGCUUGCACCAAUUUGAAGAGCAGCGAACGGGUGAGUAACGCGUGGGGAAUCUGCCUUUGAGCGGGGGACAACAUUUGGAAACGAAUGCUAAUACCGCAUAACAACUUUAAACAUAAGUUUUAAGUUUGAAAGAUGCAAUUGCAUCACUCAAAGAUGAUCCCGCGUUGUAUUAGCUAGUUGGUGAGGUAAAGGCUCACCAAGGCGAUGAUACAUAGCCGACCUGAGAGGGUGAUCGGCCACAUUGGGACUGGGACACGGCCCAAACUCCUACGGGAGGCAGCAGUAGGGAAUCUUCGGCAAUGGACGAAAGUCUGGCCGAGCAACGCCGCGUGAGUGAAGAAGGUUUUCGGAUCGUAAAACUCUGUUGGUAGAGAAGAACGUUGGUGAGAGUGGAAAGCUCAUCAAGUGACGGUAACUACCCAGAAAGGGACGGCUAACUACGUG
rnacentral:rRNA from 1 species